rnacentral:tRNA from 2 species
GCGGGUGUAGUUCAGUGGUAGAACGACAGCUUCCCAAGCUGUAUGUCGUCGGUUCGAGUCCGAUCACCCGCU